rnacentral:rRNA from 1 species
AUUGAACGCUGGCGGCAUGCCUUACACAUGCAAGUCGAACGGCAGCACGGGAGCAAUCCUGGUGGCGAGUGGCGAACGGGUGAGUAAUGUAUCGGAACGUGCCCAGUCGUGGGGGACAACGCAGCGAAAGCUGUGCUAAUACCGCAUACGAUCUAUGGACGAAAGCGGGGGACCGUAAGGCCUCGCGCGAUUGGAGCGGCCGAUAUCAGAUUAGGUAGUUGGUGGGGUAAAGGCCCACCAAGCCGACGAGCUGUAGCUGGUCUGAGAGGACGACCAGGCACACGGGAACUGAGACACGGUCCAGACUCCUACGGGAGGCAGCAGUGGGGAAUUUUGGACAAUGGGCGCAAGCCUGAUCCAGCAAUGCCGCGUGCAGGAUGAAGGCCUUCGGGUUGUAAACUGCUUUUGUACGGAACGAAACGCUCCUUUCUAAUACAAGGGGGUAAUGACGGUACCGUAAGAAUAAGCACCGGCUAACUACGUGCCAGCAGCCGCCGUAA